rnacentral:rRNA from 1 species
UACGGAGGAUUCAAGCGUUAUCCGGAUUUAUUGGGUUUAAAGGGCGCGUAGGCGGUCGGAUAAGUUAGAGGUGAAAUCCCGUGGCUCAACUUCGGAAUUGCCUCUGAUACUGUUCGGCUAGAGAGUAGUUGCGGUAGGCGGAAUGUAUGGUGUAGCGGUGAAAUGCUUAGAGAUCAUACAGAACACCGAUUGCGAAGGCAGCUUACCAAGCUACUUCUGACGUUGAGGCACGAAAGCGUGGGGAGCAAACAGG